rnacentral:tRNA from 3 species
GCCCAUGUAGCUCAGACGGUAGAGCACUUCCUUGGUAAGGAAGAGGUCACCGGUUCAAGUCCGGUCGUGGGCUCCA